rnacentral:tRNA from 1 species
GGGGUUUUGGCUUAGUGGCAGAGCAUCCGCUUGGAACGCAGAAGGUCCCAGGUUCAAUCCCCAGCAUCUCUA